rnacentral:rRNA from 1 species
UACAGAGGUCCCAAGCGUUGUUCGGAUUUACUGGGCGUAAAGGGUGCGUAGGUGGCGAGGUAAGUUCGAUGUGAAAUCUCCGAGCUCAACUCGGAAAUGGCAUUGAAUACUAUCCCGCUUGAGGGUCGGAGGGGAGACUGGAAUUCUCGGUGUAGCAGUGAAAUGCGUAGAUAUCGAGAGGAACACCAGUGGCGAAGGCGAGUCCCUGGACAACACCUGACACUGAGGCACGAAAGCCGGGGGAGCAAACAGG